CCCCGUUAUUUGUAUUAAUAGAAUAACGGGAGGCCCAGGGACUGCAAAACGGGCACAGGUGUAGGCAGAAAGGCUCCUUGCAAUUGUUCUAGUUAAGAAAAUUUGCAUUCCGAUGACUUUGAUCCACACAGCCUGUCCUAUCUUGGGAAACCCUGGCUUUUUCGCAAACCUCUUUGGGGUAACGUUUAUUUCCUCGUGGGGCUGCUAUUCCUGCCUUGACCACAGGAGGGCAAUAUCUUCUGUCCCGUACCAUUAGCACCGAGGCCAUCAUCGGCCUUUUUUAACUCGGUUUAAGGCUUUGGGAAACGGGUUUCCUGCUUCCGUGCCUGUUCUGCAGCCCCGUCGCUCUAUUAUGAUUAACCGGUGGCAUGCAUUAGCCCGUGGCAGGUAGUCCUGCAGCCCUGCUCAGCCAAGCAUAGCGGCGGAGGGAACGAGCCAGCACAGGCAAGAACUUGUUGGUAAGAGAGUCGCCCAGAGUGGCAGAGGGAGGCAAAGACGCCAGGCUCACUUCCGGUUGACCCGGAAGAGAAACGAGGAGGAGGCGAUGCGGAGACAGCAGCGUUCGGGAGAUGGCCGGUUAAGCAAGCGAGCAAGGAAGCAAGCAAGCAAGCAAGGAUGCAUGCCGGCAGCAUCAACUGGAGACCAAGAAAUAUGCAGAUGUCAUUAUCCCUCAAGGCGUGGAUAAUACGGGAGAAUCUACACAAAGGCUAUACGACGAUGAGGGGAAGGCUUCCUGUUAACAGUUUCCUGGGUUUGAAUUGUAAAUGGGAAAACAGCGAUCGCGACUGAAAGAUUACACCACUUGGACUGAUGCCAGGAUGACAAGAAGGCCAUCUUACCUUCCUGGUCUUCACCGUUGACACGCAACAAUCUCCAUCGUCAUAGUUGCAAAAGGCUCGGUUGUUGACCGGAUCACAAUAAUUGUCUCCCCCAAAAGGCUG